UGUUUUUUCACUAUAAAUGAUGUGAACACAAUGCUUAAUUUUACGUUAGUCCACUUUAUCAAUCUUUUAUAGUUAGUACUUUUUUUAAAUGUUGGGUUUUAUUAAAUUUUCAUUUACCCAGAUACAAGAGGAUACCUGCUAUAGUGUUUUCCAGAAGUUUUGACUUUCACGUUUAGUUAUACAGUUCACGUGGCAUUGUUGUCUCUUUUUCAUGAAUGAAAUGGCUUUCCUUAAUGGCUGCCAGUUUUAUUCCUUGGCCUUAAUUUGCUGUUAUUUUUCUAAUUCCUUGAAAUGGACAUGCAGUUAACUGAUUUUCAGCUUUUUCUUUUUCUUUUUUUCUUUUUUUUUUUUUAAGUAAACUCUGUACCCAAUGUGGGGCUCAAACUUACAAGCCCAAGAUCAAGAGUUGCAUGCUCUCCCGAGUCACCCGGACCCCCAGCCUGUCUCCUUUUCCAGUAGAUGCAUUGAAGGCUAUCCGUUUCUUCUGAGCAUAGCAUUAGCUGUUUCCCAGUUUUGAUAAUGUAGUAUUUUUCUUUUCACUAUGUUCAAAAUAUCCCGAGUUUCCACUGUGAUUUCUACUAUUUAACCCAUGGGCUCUUUUAGAAUAUAUAUAGGUUUAUUCUUUUUUUUUUUUUUUUUUUUUUUUUUUUUUUUUUUAAGAGUGAGCAUGCCUGUGAGCUCAGGAGGGGGAGAUGAAGAGGGAGAAUCUUAAGGCUCCUCCAUGGAGCUCAGCAUGGAUCCCAAUGCGGGGCUCAAUCACACGACCCUGAGAUCAUGACCUGAGCCAAAAUCAAAAGUUGGAUGCUUAACUGAGCCAUCCAGGCACCGCUAGAAUAUAUAUUUUAAUGGGAUGUUUUAUUUUUAUUUUUAUUUUUAAAGACUUUAUUCAUUUGACAGAGAUCACAAGUAGGCAGAGAGAGAGGAAGGGAAGCAGGCUCCCCUUCCUGUUCAAUCCCAGGACCUUGAGAUCAUGACCUGAGCUGAAGGCAGAGGCUUUAACCUACUGAGCCACCUAGGUGCCCUUAAUAGGAUGUUUUAAAGUUAUGAUUGUAUUUUUGGUUUAUAUGAAAAAUUGUAGAAAAAACUUGAAACUCUAGAUCAGGGGUCAGCAACUUUAUAACCCAUGAGCCAGCAGCCUAGUGUCUGUUUUGUGGCUUUUACCUUUUUAAGUGGUUUUUUAAAACCAGCAGAAAUAUUUUUGGCAUGUGGAUAUUAUAUGAAAUUCACAUUUCAGUAUUCGCACACAAGCUUUCUGGAACACAGCCAAGCUGCCUUCAUUCUUCUUGUCCAAGGCUGCUUUUGCAGUAUGGAAAAGCUGUGUUGUGUCAAAAACCAUCUGGCAACAAACCCUAUAAUAUUUACUGUCUUGUCCUUCAGAGAAAGAGUUUGUUGACCCCUGCUCUGGAUGGUGUUUUCUUCCAGACAGGAUUUACUUUUGCUUCUGGCAGGCAGCAAGGGUGCUUGAAGUCUCAAAUCGUGUUAAAACAGAGAUGGAGUGGGCAUCAGUGGCCACGGGUUAUACUUCCCAUACUCUCUUAUUGUUACAGGGUCAUGCUUUGGGGGUCCUAGACAUGGUUCUAAACAUGGAUGUUUACCAGGGCUCCUCUUCCUUGGAAGGCCCUGAAAUCUGGAUUUUGUCACUUUUUCUCCAAGAGGUUUUCAACUCUGUUUCUAGUUCCUCAUCCCUGUGGCUGUUUUCCACAUAUUGAAGAUACUCCCUGGGGAAUAGUGACCCUCAAAUACUAAGCUCUUUUCUCAGGGCUAUCUUCCUCAAAAUCGUGGCCUUGGCCCUAUAAUUUCACAUGCCUUAUUAGCUCCCCAGUGCCUUCAAGCAGAUUUUUAAAUACUUUGAACCCUUCUUGUUUUCAGAGGGAGCAUUGGUUUGUAUUACCUAGUCUGCCAAUAUGGAAAUGCUUUAUAAACCACAAAUAUACUUGUUUUUUUAAGAUAAUUCUUGGAUCUUUUUUUUAAAAAUCAGUAUAUAUUUUUUUAGGAUUUUAUUUAUUUACUCGACAGAGACACAGUGAACAGAGGGAACACAAGCAGGGGGAGUGGGAGAGGGAGAAGCAGGCUUCCCGCUGAGCAGGGAGCCUGAUGCGGGACUCGACCCCAGGACCCCUGGGAUCAUGCUUGAGCUGAAGGCAGCCGCUUAACGACUGAGCCACCCUGGCACAUCAAGAUAAUUAUUAGAUCUUACAGUGAAAUUGCCAAGUGAGUUGUGCUCAUCUUGAGCCUAAAGGAGUUUGGGCAGCUGUCAAAUGCAGCAGCCCAGUGUUCUCUUCCCCAGUGUGUCCUGGUUGGGGGAUGCUGACGAACGUGAUCCUUCAUCCUUUUGUCUUUUCAUACCAGUGACAAGCCUCCUCAAGCCUGGUCUCCUCCCCCUUUGAACUCCACUCCAAGUCCCUAGUCCUCAAGUGGUCCUGCUGCUACUGCUCUGUUUCCACUGCUAUCUCCUUGCCCGCAUCCAUUCUCCACACUGAAGCCAAAGUGCUAAAAUGGAAUUUUGAAGUCAGUUCCCUGCUUAAAAGUCCGGCGGCUCAUUUUUUUUAAAGUAGGCUUUACGCCCAACAUAGGGGCUGAACUCAUGACCCUGGGAUUGAGUCACAUGCUCUACCCACGAGCCACCCAAGUGCCCCCCUUCAGCAGCACUUGAUAGGUUGUGGUAUACAUCUCAUGCUUGAAGGAAGCUUGUGACCCACAUUUUCUCCACAAGGAACAUCACUGCCUUCUUACCCUUUGGAACCCUGCACAUCACUUCAGCACUAUGCUGGGGGGCCGUUUUAAACCAUGAAAUCACCAACAAAACACGAAAAUGUGAAGACCCUUUUUUAGAGUGUGACAGCUGAAACAAGAGGGCAGAGCCUGCCUGGCCUUGUUUGACCUCAGCUGUGUAUCAGGCAGUACCCACGAAUGAACAUAAAAGGGUUAGAAAUAAAAUCUUAAAGCGGAGGCCAGUUUGCAAAUACGCAAUCUGCCAGUAAGGGUCAAUUUUAUCACAGAUGGAUGAAAAGGCUGAUAUUCAAGAGAAGCAGAAAACUAAAAGGAAUUCAUAGCAUGGUAGACUUUGUAAAAUGGUCCUUUUAAAGACUUGAAAUUCGAAUGUAAAGCAGCCAGAAAUUUUUAUCAGUUACAUUAUAUGCCCCCACUUGUCCACUCGACACCCUUUGCAUGUUCAAGAUUCCACCAAACUGGAGGACCCGCCUUCCCCUAAAUCUGUUUCUCUCACUCUGGAUUGUAGGUGCCUGAUUUCUUCAUUUGUUCUUGAAUUUAACAAACACUACACAUGGCCUGUGUCCCAGGCACUGUUCUGGGCUCCAGUGAAAUCAGUAAGAACCACUGCCCUUGCAGAGAGAACUUCCAUUCCCUCACAGCCUGGCACGUUGUAGAGCUUCAGGUGUGACAGCUUUGACAGUGACGGUACAGUGAGGGGAUUUGUAAAGCUAUGACGUCCCCGGCCAGAAGAUGACAGCAUCGUGACAGAGGCUUGGUUCUAGGAGUCACCAGUGAAUGCGAUACUAUAGCAAGGAACUGACUCGGGGGCCCUUUGGGCAAAUCUACACUUCCUAAGUGCCAUCGAGGUAACCCUAGCAGAACGGGGAGGCUGACAUCUGGGUCACUCGCACGUGGCAGAUAAUGUGUGUUUAAUAAACUCCCAUUUCCUGUAAAGACUCAAGAACAAUUUUGGUUCUUGGUUGGCCUGGGACCACCCACUAUUCAUCCACUGCUUUCAGGUCUCAGCUGCUCUUCAUGGCUCCUCCCUCACCUAACUCUUAAGGUUUCAAAUACUGAAAAGGCUGCUGGCCUUACUCUGAGCUAUGCUCCACUGAAGUUCCUGCCCUACUAGCCUGCCCUGCUUUCCUCUCCUCUCCAUCAGCAACAGAACUGGGACCAUUCACACCAUUCACUGGAUGAAAAGCAGCAUGAGGGUAAUGUAUCCAGAAGGCCCCUAACACUACAUGUUUGUGACCUGGCCUUGAGAUGGGACUGAGUGAGAAGCUUGCUUUUUGCAUGCCUUAGCCUGUCCCAUCAGCACAGACAGGCACUACAGUAGGGCAGAUGGAACCUUGUUUGUUGUGGUAAAACAAAAGCAGCUGAUUUUUUACUGGGGAGCUAGGAGUGAGUAGGUGGGAGAGCUUGGGAAGGAGGGUGAAGAACGGGAGGAACAGAGACACCACACCCCUCAAACCACCCGCCAGGGAACCCAUAAAACACAUGGGCCUGCCUUUCAAGCUUUGCCUAGGGUUUAGGGACUGGUUUCCAGCAUUGUUGCUAACAGGCUCGUGCUCUAUGAGCUGGACCAGAAGUAAUUUCCAACUAGAAAUUGUAAUUAUUUUUCUCUUGGUCAUUAGUUUAUGAGAGUCAUAUCCAAAACUGACUUUGUCUCUAGUCUUGAUAAACUGUUACUGCAAAGAAGUGCUGGCAGAUACCUUCUUUUUUUUUUUUUUUUUUUAAGAUUUUAUUUAUUCAUUUGACAGAUCACAAGUAGGCAGAGAGGCAGGCAGAGAGAGAGGAAGGGAAGCAGGCUCCCUGCUGAGCAGAGAGCCCGAUGCGGGGCUCUCCUGGGAUCAUGACCUGAGCCAAAACCAGAGGCUUAACCCACUGAGCCACCCAGGCACCCCUGGCAGAUACCUUCUAUACCUGUUAUCUAACUCCGCUAUUUUCUUUCAGGCCUGCCUCCUACCACUCCCCACAUUUCAUGUCCUCCUUUCUAGUCCUACCCAACCAAGAUUAUAUUAAAUAUUACAUUAUAUAAUAACAGCCAUUUCAUUCCUCUCUCCUAACCCCAUGGAAGUUUCUUUCAGAAUUGGUUUCUGUCUUUUUGUAUCUUCCACAGAGCCUAACAGGUACUAAAUACUAGCUUGCUAGCUGAUUGUCAAUGAAUACUGCCCACUGUCAUAAAAUUCUCAGUAGCACACUUCUCUAAAGGCCCUAAGGCAGAACAUUUCCUCACCUCACAAAACUUCCAACACUGUUCAGUGUAAUCUCAGAGUUCCUGAGGGUUGCAUGAAAGUGCAUAAAAUCAGGUAGGACUAUGCAAGUCAGGAUCCAUGCCAUCGCCUUGGAGCCCCCAGCACCACGGCCUGAGGUAAGAUAAAAAGAAAGCAGGUAAAAGCCGCCAAAGUUUGAAAACCACACAUUUUAAGCAUUGUAGGUACUCCUGUGACACACAGUAGAACAUCUGACAUUCAGAAGCUGGGCCACCGAGUUAUGUAAGUCAUGCUAGAAAAUGUGCAUUGGUGGUCUUACGUUUAAAUCCACACAGCAAUGAAUAAGAACUCAAAAAAACAUGGUGCAUUAAGUGGUCUUUAUUGAGAUUUCACAUUCGGUUAUCUUCAUUAUCAGUUCUUCAGUUAAUUAUACAAGUAUCAUAAGUUAUUUUAUAUCUGACGUGGGAAUUUAAAUGUAAAAUAAAUACAAAAUACAUUUGUGGUUUAAUGAACACUCAGUGAAGCUUUUUUUUUUUUUUCCUCUGAGGUAUUCCUUUCAGUCUGGUUUUA